GAGGUCAGUCAUGUCUCCAAGUUCUCCUGGAGUAGUUUCUACUAUUUAAUAAGCAGGCCUAGGAAAGACUAUCCACCAUUACUGCGAUUUGUUGUCUGAAACAGUGAAUGAAGAUGGCAUCUCCCGCCUGUAUGAAGCUUUUCAAGAAGUGCCUUUGAAAUCUGACAGGACCAGAAGGUACAUCCUCAAUAGACAUUACAAAUGGUUGCAGAAACUUGGAAAUCUCGUGUCAGGUUCUGCAUUCGACUAGGGAACCAGGACCAACACAGAAGACCUCUUCAUCCUGCUAUGGUCCUUUUCUGCAGAACUGCUGCCUAGCCACUCAACAGGUGCACUUCUGAACUGUGGGUCUGCACUGACCAGGGACAACAACUAUGAGGUGGGAUGUUAAGGGUGGGGUAUACUACAGGAACUUUGGAGUUGGACUCAAGAACCUGAAGCAAAAGACACUGCCCAGCGUACACUGGGAAGGGUGUUUUGCUCGUGCUUUUAUGUCUAUGGAUACCGCUUGACUGUUUUCUCAGAUUACUGCUAGGUUACUUUUAUUAAAGAAACUCUACCUCGGACUCUGUGCUUGCGAGAGGGGAAGAAUUGCCUCUUAGAGGCAUCCAGGCGUUACAGUGAAAUUUCCCCAGGUUCCCGGGUGGGGGCUUGAGCCGGUUCUGGUUGCAUUGUUGAAAAGGAACCCCCUAGGUGUUGAACCUGCCCUUCUCGCUGCCCACUUCAACUGGCAGAAGGGUUACAGACUGAACAGAACAGAACAUGGGGGAGCAGCAACACCCGGCUGCUAACAGGGCAGUUGGCCAGACCUUGACUGACCAGCAGCGUCCGGGCAGGGGAGCCUGGUCUUCCCUGCUGUUUCUGCGGCUACAUGAGAAGGUUUCUCGUUGGAGAUGGAGGGGCUAAAUCUGGGAGGAAAAGAUCUGUUUUUUCCAGCAAUAUGUUCACCAGCAAAGCCCAGCAGCAGUGAGAUCCUCUUCCUGAGCCCAUCCCCCAGCGCUGCCAGCCUCGGGCAGCCACACAGCAGGGAGACUGACUGCUUAGAAGGAAGUUUACGGCUGUGGAACCAGCUUGCCUUACACACUCGUGAUAAUGGAUCUCAUCACUGUCUGAGUCAAGCUCUGUGACAAUACUGCA